AAGUUAAACGGCCGCGGUACCCUAACCGUGCGAAGGUAGCGCAAUCACUUGUUCUUUAAAUGAGGACUAGUAUGAACGGCAUCACGAGGGUUAUACUGUCUCCUUUCUCUAAUCAGUGAAACUGACCCCCCCGUGAAGAGGCGGGGAUAAAAUUAUAAGACGAGAAGACCCCAUGGAGCUUUAAACUCAGCAUCAAUUGCCUUAGCACACAAAUCAUUUUAACCAGGCAAACCUGACAGCUAGUUUUCGGUUGGGGUGACCGCGGAGCAAAACAAAACCUCCACGAUGAAUGGACCUUUCCUAAUCAAAGAGCCACUACUCGAAGAAUCAAUAUACUGACAUAAAUUGAUCCAAUUAAUUUUGAUCAACGAACCAAGUUACCCUGGGGAUAACAGCGCAAUCCACUUCAAGAGCCCCUAUCGACAAGUGGGUUUACGACCUCGAUGUUGGAUCAGGGUAUCCUAGUGGUGCAGCCGCUACUAAUGGUUCGUUUGUUCAACGAUUAA
rnacentral:rRNA from 1 species